CAGAAAUGUUCCAGCACCCAUGAUGAUGAGCUGUAGCAUGCCCUGUAGCAUGCCGAUGCCCAUCUCAUAUGAUGCACCGAUGAUCCAAGGACCCCUAGUGCACAGAAAUGUUCCAGCACCCAUAUUGUUGGAGUAUUUCCUCGAUGCACUGCCCUUGAGAAGCUGCAUCCAAUUUCCGGCAUCAAGCGAGACCUUUGUGGUUGAAGGUGCUGCCGCAUGUUCAGAAAUGCAAUUCGCCC